GCUGCUGGUGUUCCCCUGCUCCUGAGGCGAUAGAAGGAGUGAAGAAACACGAGAGCAGACCAGGAGAACUGAAUUCAUCUCGGAAAUAACAAUAAUUAGUUCAUGUGAAAACUCGAUCAACAAUAGUCUAUUUAAAUUGGGUUCAGUGUGGUGAACUCUUCUCAACAGGCGUUAUUUAGUUAUUUUGUUGUCUGUUUAGUGAAAAGUCGCUCGGCUGGUUUUGCGCAACUUGGGUCAACACAGAGAAUGCCUCUUGUUUCCGGGUGAGAGGGAAGAAUAACACUAUGGAAGAAACAGAAAUGGAGUUAAAACCUCUGAAUAAGGAGUCAGCGCGUCCUGGAGGAGACCCUGACAACAAUAACGUUGAAAAUGAAGACGAGGAUAGGGAGGUAAAUCAAGGGAAUGGAAUUCACCUUGCACCAGAGACUAUGCAACCUUUACUCUCAUCAUCACAGAGUACUGAGAGCAAUGGAGGACACAUUACAGUGGAGGUUGACUCAACUGAUGCCUCUUGUGCCUCGGAGAAAAAGCCUAAGGUGCUGAAAAACCUGAAGAAGGAGCUGAAUGAAACUGUGUUUUGGAAGAUUAAACUGUGGAUGGCCAUUCUUAUCUUCCUAGUCAGCAUCAUUUCUUUGAUCUUGCUUUUACUCUUUCUUUGCUCAGGUCAGAAAGAUGAUGCAGAUGACAAGUAUGAUCGUUCAUCGUUUGUGGUACCACUCAAAUUCACAGGGACUUUUACACUUGCCAACUACAGCCGUGUUCAAGAUCCAGUGUCUCAGGCUGAACUAGACAAUAAGAUGGUCAUAAAUCUCGGUCAAAAGGUAAGGCUACUAGAAAUGUAAACUCUGUUUACACUAAAUUACUUCAUGUAAUCUAGACUAGGGUGCUUGAUUUGGACAAAAUGUGUGAAAACCCUUUAGAUAACCUGAUAUUGAUGUGAAACAUGAUAAAUUAAGAUCCUAAAUUAGGGAGGAUGAGUUUAUUCUGCUGUCUUCUGUUAGACAGCAUAUAGUCAUUUGAAUAUUCUUCGAAUCAAGCUUUGCUGCACAGAAGUUUGCUUACUUUGCUGAAUCAUUUCCUCCUUCACACAUGAUGCAUCCUAAAAUAUAUUGUUAUUUGUACUGCUUUAUUAUUUAUGCUGCUGUAGGGCUUUUACUAAGUUGCAAAUGCAUUUUAGCAACUGUUAAAGAAGUGACUUUUUUGUAGUAAAGAGUAGCUUGUUUCAUGAAAGCUUGUUUUGUUAAAGGAAUGUUUCACCUACUUGUUGAGGAGUUGUGAGAAUUCCUCUUAAUGUUGUGGUUGUGUGACUUUAGGGAACUUUAGGGGGUUUUCCGCUUUGAUUUCACAUUGAAGUUUUUUUCUUUGUGCUGAAUUAAGAUGAUUUUUCUUUCACUUUUGUCUUUCCUGCCGUCUCAAGCUGACUCACAUCUACGAAUCCUCCCCCACCCUGGAGCGCUACUUCUCUCUUGCUCAAAUAGAAACAAUAAGGUAUAAAAAAUAACACACUUCCUGUCUAUCUCACUCAUUAACUAUUAACUACAGGGUUUUUUGUUUGUGCUCAUUCAACAUAAUCUCACCAUAGUAAUAAUACAAAUAUUUCUCCUAACAUCUCUUGAUGUUUUCUAUUAAAAACACAAUAUGCAGUUUAGGGAAUUAUUCUGGAAGAAAUACCUCAGUAUUAAAGGUAAACUCUGUUUUAGAUAAUAGCAACCUAUUAUCUAAAAAAAUAUAUUAAACUGGUUAUAACUUGGAAUUAUUUCAUCACUGGGGUAAUAUGUUACUGGUAAUUACUGGUAGAUGUAUUUUUACAUUACUGUAGUUAUCUGUGCAGUUUGGGGAGCAUUUUGAGAUUGGCUGUGUGUAGUGGGUAUGGACAUUUUUGUAAAGCAUUGACACCCCCCCGGUAGUCAGUGAUAACAGGUACAUCAAUGAGUCACCCCACUCCUACUCACUUAAGCAGGGAAAACUGUGCUUGACCCUGUUAGUUUAGAACAUAACGUCAUGUUACAUGUUUUUUGUGUGCAUUAAAGUAAGAAAAUAAAGAAAAAAUAAGUUUGAUUCUUAUUAAAAAC
rnacentral:lncRNA from 1 species